ensembl:lncRNA
CUAAUGUGAAAAGAUGUUUAAUGAAGUAUAAACGUUCUUUUAGCAUACAAUAUAUUCCCUUCGUUUCAUAAAACUUGUAAAAAUCAUAGAACUCUUUUAAAGUACCUCAGGUCCUAAUGGAAGGCAAAACUGUGUGCAAAGAAAGUUCUUCCUAAAUCCUUAACUACUUGAGCAUACUGCAUUUUCUCUGUCAACAUCAAGUAAGCAUUUAUUAGGUUCCUGACCUCAUACUAUAUACUGCAGUUAAAACGCAGUAUCUAGGCAGUUAUACAGUUAAAAGGUAUGCAAUGUUUUUUUUUUCUUUUUAAAUAUAAAGAUUAAUUAGAAAGCAUGAAGAGAAAUAAUCUUUAAAAAAGUCCUAACAUCUAGUGGGUUGAGUAAGGCACUGAGGUCUUGCAAAUAUCUCAUUUCAGAAAACUCACUAGGUUAACCCUAAAUAUAUUAAUUCAAAUCUAAACAUACGAAAAUAGCAUUGAAAGUAUUUGCUGCAGCUGGAUUUGAGCGUUACGUGACUCAAUACCAUGUGACAUGUCUAUAAGGUUCCCUGAAGUAUCCUACUGACUGUUUCCUCUGGCCCCCUUUCUAUGAUAAUUUUUAUUCAUCUAAAUAUUAUUUCCAAUUUGGACUAUUUCUUUAAUGAACUAGAACAUUUAGCAAACAAGUGAUUUGGAUCAGUUCUAAGGAGCCAUAUGUACAAUUUCCAAGGGAAGUGUUCUAACUCUGGAUUAAGAAGGGGAAGAAAUGAGAAAUCUCAGAAUUAUUAUAAAAACAAAAUGAAAGACCAAGAGUUGAGGUAAAUUAAAAAGUAUUGGGAAAAAGCUAUCUUUAGAAAGGCUGAUUUGCCUUUUGAGAGCAAGAAUAUUGGCUUGAAAUGGUUAUAUACAUCAAUACCUUGACUUCCAUUCAAACUGAACUAUCUUUCACAUUGAACUUUUAGUAAUAGGCUUGGGUUAUACAUAUUUUACCACCUUCUUACCUCCUAUGGAAACGGGAAGAUUGUAUACAGUUUGUUUCUUUUACUGGAUGUUGCAGAACGCUAAAUCUGCAGGACUAGAUGGAAAAACAAAGUUGGGCAGAGCUUCUCCAUCUAGUCUGAUAAAACUUCCUAUUCAAGAGAAAGUGACUAAGGGUCAACAGCAAUUACUUCAAAACUUAUUUUACUAUGUCAAUACCUGAAAACAUAUAUUUUAAAAGAUGAACAUACAAAGUCCAAAUAAAGUCAUUUUUUAAAACUUUAUUAUUGUUUACCAAUGGGGAGAUGCAGUUUAUUUACACCAGCAGCCAUAGGGGCAAGGGGAAUACACAGUUAAGUCAGCAAUCUGUAUAGGAUGGACUACUUAUGCAAAAAUAAGAAUCUCCAAAACAAAGGACAGUGGUGGGCUUCACUACACUUCCCCAAUGAUCCCAGCAUGCGACAAUGCCAGGCAAUGGCCCCAGGCAUGCGGUGGUGGAAAGUAACGUAUGGAAGAAAAAGCCACAAACCACAGAAAUUUGUAAAGAACCCCUUUCCCCCCAUACACACACACACUCAGAUACAUAAUAGAAUUACACGGUGAUCAAUACACUAAUUGAACAGGGAGGGAGAGAAAUUCUGCUGUUAGAGGGAAGAUAGGUAGGCAAAGGGAGAGUUCCUAACCACUGUCAACUACAUGGUAGGGAGUAUUCUCUCCCCAAAAAGACUUUGUCCCCUCAGGGCACCUGUUGGACCUAGCACACCUUACACCCAUCCAGGGCAGGAGGCUACUGCCCUAAUAGUGGGGGGCAAAAAAAUAAAAACUAAAACCAAGAGGGAGGUAACGUGAACCAACCAUUACUCAAAACUACUCCCCACUUCUUCCUCCUCUAACAGGAGAAAAGGCCAGAAAGGAAACAGUAAUGUCACAGUCUGCACUCCCUCUCUGAAGGAAGAGUGGACCAUGGUCCUAUCUUCAGCCUGUUUCUCAGACAUUAUUUAAAAUUAGGCCAGUCUCACUUAAAACCUCCUUACUCUCUGUAUCCCCUUAGAAUGAGAUGUUUACAAAAAGGGCAGAUAACCCCAAAAAAGCAAGAUAUUUUAGCUCUUGCUUUUUUUUUAAAGUUAUCACAAUUCUUGGAUUGAAGACCAAUCUGUAACUAGGUCCUGACCCUAAGCACGACAACUCUGGGGGAGAAUGCAGUAACAGAUAGUCUUGAGGCCUUAUUACUAUGGUUCCCUUAAUCCUCUAAAGUAUGUAACCCAAAUCAGUCCACAUGGUCCAAACGGUUCCUUCUGGGAUAAGGAAGGAUACAUGCACAGCAAGGGUUAAAGAAAACGCAUCAGGACCAACUCCAUCCCUGUGUGUGUCAGCCAGCCUUGACUGCUCUUCUGCCUAAGUCCUAAGAGGCGGUAUCCAAGUGGAGGCGGGGAGAUAUGACUCCUCAGGAAGUAAGACAGAGCAGGAAGGCAUACUAGCAAGGCAGUCCUAUAGGAGAAAUGCUUAGGUGUGACACUGCCUUUCAUAUACAAAAACUUAGGUUCCUUUCUCAUCCUAAGCCUAACACAGAAAGCCAUAAGAAAGAUUCUUCUGAGUCUCCCACACAAACAAGAAGAAAAAAACAUAAGAAACUUAAAAGAAGCCAAGGAAAGGGAAACUGGGCAGGCUUCAGAAGCAGGAGCAUCAAGAGAUGAAAUGAAACUGGUCAAUGUGAAAGCAGGGUGGCAGGCAGCACCUGGGGUCAUGAGCUGCACCAAAUAGGCAGUGGAGCAGGGACGUGUGGCCAAGCCAGAGAGAUGAGGCUGGGUCCCUUACUAGGGCACAGAAUGAGGUAAGAAAACAUUUCAAAUAGAGCAGCACCGUUCCCGCUCACCUUGGGGCUCCCAUCCCUCUACACUUCAUAAACCCUCCAUCAGGGAGUAAAGUGGAGGGUAAUUCUGAUAUGCGGCUCACACUUCCCAUCCUCCCCAUCCCAUUCCCUGAAACCAGGGCAUUUCUGGAGGCCCUUUCCUGACUUCCAACAACAAAAGGACAGCUCUUGUAAAGAAGGUCCAAAGGGGACCCAGUGGAGAGGGCUGCCCCUUGUGAGAGGCAGAGAGUGACGUGUCUAGAUGUUCACCACAGCAGAGCUUUGUGACUGCCCAACCCAAGGAACAGGGGCAUUCAACAGGAUACUGCACAGUCAGAUGAGAUGACCCAGUCCUGCUCCUUGGCUCCUAGCACUAACCCAUUCACAUUACUGAGGGCAGCUGGAAGAGGUCCUCUCCGGGCUUAGCUUUCAAACCACAACCUCCUGCACAGCCAUGAUGCUCUUCUACAGUUCAGUCUUGCCCCUGGGGUGGAAGGCAGUUAGUGACCUGGCAUAAGGACCAAGUCAGGCUCACAAACUGGCUAGAUAACUAGUAACAGAGUAGGAAAAUGACUGCCCCACCAAACGCUUGUCCACAGCAUAAUGGAUCCAGAUAUGAAUCUUGCAGUUUGAGAGAUCGUGCAUAGUUGCAGAGGCCCCCACUACUUCCCCAAGAGAUCAUAACUAAAUUCUCAGCCUGCCUGGAUAACCAAGGGGUCCAUUUGCCAAGCCUAUGCCACAAGGUGGGGUGCCAGAAAGAGGGAUCUGUUCAGCAGAAGGCUAGACUUUGUCCCCAAGACCGCUGUAGUCACUGUAAAUGCUGGACCUCUGGGAAACUGGUGGCUUUGACCUUUUCUCUCGUUGGAGCCAAGACCACAGAGCUUCGCCUACCAGAUUCAGCCGGGAAUUCUCUCUCUUGGUUUUCCCAAAUUGUAAUUGUUAACAUCCAGACCUCAUACCUGACCUUCAUUUGUCUCGGCGAAGGCCAAAUCAGAGGCUCAGAACUCAGAGGAGCAGUGCCACUGAGGCCCAACCAUCGAGGCCUGACCAUCAGUUCUGUCCACACUGUCAGUUAUCCAGGAAGCCCUUGACAUCGGGCAGACAAAGGCUGAGGAACCAAAGGAUUUUAUAUGCUGGGCACACAGCCACACACCUGUGCACUGGGGACAGUACUGGGAUCUUGCGCACUUCCUGGUGUGUUUACAGAUCAACCUGUAUUGCAUGGCGCGCGGGACGCACAGCUCCUCCUGCCCGGGAUUUCAAAGCCGACCCCAAGUAACAGACUUAUAAAAGGAUCCUAAUUCCUAAAUUCUCCACUUUGGGUUUAUAAAGGCUAGGAUCUUCAAUGGGAAUUGGGACUGUUGUCUGAGUUUUUUUUCCUACUCAGCUACCUAAAUUCUCCAAUCCACAAGACCAGUCUGCGUCCCUGUCCUGGUCACCCCCAGACUCGCUCAUGCUGCAGCUACUGGAAUUCUGGGGGUGAGCGCUGCAGCUGCUGAUCCGGCCCGCUCCCGGCCUCCGCGGGGAGGGAGCACAGCGGGAGGCGGCACGCUCCCUUCUCCUCCACGGGCUGGAUGCCAAAAUCCUUCACGUUCCCGGUCUCCGCGAACUCCAGGUAGAAGUAGCCACACUUGACGGCCCGGUGCACCUCAAAGCAGAAGCCCAAGCAGGAAUCCUCUAUCAGGUCUACGUAUAUCUCCUGCGCGAUGGCCUCCAGCUUGUUGGUGUCCAGGUUGGCCAGGGAGAUCUCCUCCAUCUUAACCCGGGGGCGGCGGCGGGUCCCGGCGGGAGGGUCUGGGACGCGGAGGCCCGGCUGGGGGGCUCGGCCGCGGGGCCCGGCCGGGGGGUGCGGCUCGGCCGCGGGCGCUCUCAGUACUCACGGCGGGCUCCGCGGGCCGCGCUAGGCCUCAGGCCUCCGGGCCGCACCUCGGGCAGGCGGGCGGGGGCGUCCGCGGCGGCGGCGGGGCAGCAACAGCCAGCGGCGCCGGCUCCGGACCCCCGAGUCCUUCCGUGACUUUCUGCGUCUCCGGGACCUGUGCUCUGCGCUCGGGCCGGCCCGGACUCACCGCCGACGGCCGCGCCUCACCCAGCACCCGGUCGCUUCCGCUCCUGUCUGGUUUAGCCCCGCCUCCCUGCUUCCGCUCCCAGCCCGCAUGCGCACUGGCCUCCGCAGACUCCAGGGCAGUUCCUGGCGCGCAGCUGCCGGGAAAGCCUCGGAGUGUGUGAAACUGGGAAGAGCUACAGUAGCAAGGAAUUCUGAAAUGUGUUAACUAUACUGGAAGAAAAAGGAAGCUUUUCCUACAAUUGUGCAGCAUGAAUUGAGAGAGCGAAAGCCAGUCUACCUGGGUUUAAAUCCUAGAUCCAACAUUUAGUAGUUCUGUGGUUCCUCAUCUGCAUAAAGCUAGUCCGUGUUUCACAGUUCAGAUUAAAUGUUUCAAAAAAGUUCUCUUGUGACAGGGCCUUACAUUAAACAGCCACGUGUCCUCCCGGGCUUGGCCAGCUUGAAGUUUCAAAUUCAUCCUCUGCUGAAAUCCAUUUUUAAGAUUUGCAUUUAAAAACUGAUUGUCAUGCCUUGCUUGAGACUCUGAGAUGGCACAAUUUGAUAUUAAAUAGGGAUGUCAUGCUAAAAUUACAAUGCCUAAAAUAAAUUUACGAUUUUAAUCUGCC